rnacentral:rRNA from 1 species
CUCGUAGUUGGAUUUCUGUUAAUAAUUUAUAUAUAAUAUUACGGUAUUUAUAUAAUAUUAACAUAAUUCAUAUUACUUUAUUUUUAGAGUAUAUGAAAUUUUACUUUGAGAAAAUUAGAGUGCUUA